rnacentral:rRNA from 1 species
CAGUAGUGGGGGAUAACUGCUCGAAAGAGCAGCUAAUACCGCAUACGACCUGAGGGUGAAAGGGGGGGAUCGCAAGACCUCUCGCUAUUGGAGCGGCCGAUAUCAGAUUAGCUAGUUGGUGGGGUAAAGGCCUACCAAGGCAACGAUCUGUAGUUGGUCUGAGAGGACGACCAGCCACACUGGGACUGAGACACGGCCCAGACUCCUACGGGAGGCAGCAGUGGGGAAUUUUGGACAAUGGGCGCAAGCCUGAUCCAGCAAUGCCGCGUGCAGGAAGAAGGCCUUCGGGUUGUAAACUGCUUUUGUCAGGGAAGAAAUCCUCUAGGUUAAUACCCUUGGGGGGAUGACGGUACCUGAAGAAUAAGCACCGGCUAAGUACGUG